GAUGAACGCUGGCGGCGUGCCUAAUACAUGCAAGUCGAGCGAACGGACGAGAAGCUUGCUUCUCUGAUGUUAGCCGCGGACGGGUGAGUAACACGUGGAUAACCUACCUAUCAGACUGGGAUAACUUCGGGAAACCGUAGCUAAUACCGGAGAAUAUUUUGAACCGCAUGGUUCAAAAGUGAAAGACGGUGUUGCUGUCACUAAUAGAUGGAUCCGGGCUGCAUUAGAUAGUUGGUAAGGUAACGGCUUACCAAGGCAACGAUGCAUAGCCGACCUGAGGGGGGGAUCGGCCACACUGGAGGUGAGACGCCGUCCAGACUCCUACGGGAGGCAGCAGUAGGGAAUCGGCCGCAAUGGGCGAAAGCCUGACGGAGCAACGCCGCGUGAGUGAUGAAGGUCUUCGGAUCGGAAAACUCUGUUACUAGUGAAGAACAUAUGUGUAAGUAACUGUGCACAUCUUGACGGUACCUAAUCAGAAAGCCACGGCUAACUACGUG
rnacentral:rRNA from 1 species